rnacentral:rRNA from 1 species
UACAGAGGGGGCAAGCGUUGUUCGGAAUUACUGGGCGUAAAGGGCGCGUAGGCGGCCUGCUAAGUCGAACGUGAAAUCCCUGGGCUCAACCCAGGAACUGCGUCCGAUACUGGUUGGCUUGAAUCCGGGAGAGGGAUGUGGAAUUCCAGGUGUAGCGGUGAAAUGCGUAGAUAUCAGGAAGAACACCAAUGGCGAAAGCAGCUUUCUGGGCCAUUACUGACGCUGAGGAGCGAAAGGCGUGGGGGAGCGAACAGG